rnacentral:rRNA from 1 species
GGAUCCCAUCAGAACUCCGAAGUUAAGCGUGCUUGGGCGAGAGUAGUACUAGGAUGGGUGACCUCCUGGGAAGUCCUCGUGUUGGUGCGGUAGAGAGGGGGUUGAGUAUGCAUUAUUAGGCGGCGGUGCAUAAGAAGGUGGUAGAGAGGGGGUUGAGUAUGCAUUAUUAGGCGGCGGUGCAUAAGAAGGUAGGUUGGUGUUCAUCGUGGAGCUGGGAGGGGCGAGAUAAGGGACGAAGUCGGGGAAACAUGUCGGUUGCGAUCAUACCAGCACUAAAGCACC